AAAUUAGGAGAUAAGAUGAAUCCUGAUCGUAGUUGGAUGUAUAAUAGAAACAAUCCUGGUCGAGCGGGUAUGAUUCCAGAAUUUGCAGAAGGUGUCACUAGAUUUAUAAAUCAUGCAAAGACACUUGA